rnacentral:lncRNA from 1 species
GAAGAACGCCGAUGCUAACCCGCUCAGUGAAACGGGAACUGGCAGAAAUAGGCAAUGUUUACCAAAGUUUACCAACAACACCUUAAUUUUAAUUCUGUAUUUUUAAUAAGUGGCUUGGGUUGUAACAUUUUAUAAUGCAAGGCUUGGGCUUGUUUGUUGCAUACUGCCAAGAUGGGCCUAUUUAAGUAUGUCUUCUGGCCAACACAAAAAGCUCAGGUCAGGCAUCAGGGUCAGUGCUGAUUUUAAAUAGCUGUCAUGGGGAACCUGGUAUUUAAAAUGUGGAAGGAGUGUGAAGAGGUCAGCUGCACCCUGCGUCCUUCUGGAGGCUGCUCGUUUUUAGCCCGGUGCUUAUUCAUGAGGUGAUGAGCAUUUCUAGGAGGCACACGAUAUAAAUAUUUAGCACUGUCAGUGGAGAAGGAAAAUAUUGUUGGAACAAUGUCUUCAUUUGUCAGAGGAAAAAUAGGGAAAAAUUUUUUUUUGAGAGAGAUCACAAUUAACUGCUCCCCAUGAACUGUUUCUCUAAAGAUUUCAGGCAGACGGUGCUCUUGCAGCGAGAAGAGUGAAUGCCAAUUGAGAGGAACAUGGAUCCAUUUAUACAGCCAGAGAAAUCAUUCUGUCAGACAGGAUAUAGGUACACAAAUUAAGCAGGUAUCAAAAUUAUAUCGUCUCUUCAGCGGCAACUGCCUCUCAAGAACAGGCUAUGGACAGGAAUAGGUAACGAUUUUAGCAGUCUGUAAUUUAAUUCUGCCAGCAUGUGACUACAGCAGUAGGCACCUGCUACUAACAAUGACAGGCAGCGCUGCCCAACUGCCCAGCAAAUCCCUUUCCUUCCCAUCACUGGAAAACUUCAGGCUGUGAUUCCCCUGCACAGGAGCCCCGAGCCUCCGGCACGAUGGUAUGGGAGAUCUGCCCUUCUUGCUGUCCUCCCAGUUCCUGAGGAGAAGUGCAGGUCGUGUUGCAGCCCUGCCUCCAGGGAAACCUUUACCUUCUGGGAUCUGUCCAGCCUAACCUUUGAAGCUUGGACUUUAGGUGAACAUCCUGGCAUGAGGUUUAUCCCUGCUUCCACAGAGCUUUCAGCCCUUGCCCUCUUUGCAGUACGAUAGCAAUUUCCUUGUGCGUUGUGGGUCUGAGUGCAGGACAUCUGCCAAGGGCAGUGCCCCAACCAUCUACCCAGAUCCCUGCCUUCCAGAACAUAAAUUCAUCCCUUUUGGCACCAGGAGGGAAAGAACUCAGAGAGAUAGGAAACCUGAAAACAUUCCUAGAAGGUGUCUCAUCAGAUAACCAAGCUGCAGUAAGUUCUUUUUAAUGGAAGCUGGAAAACACUUUGAAAAUACUUUAUUAAGCAUUAACUAAGUAUUAUCUUGGAAUGCAGAGACUGGUGGUGAUAAUUUGCCAAGAAGUGACAGUUCUUCAUCUUGUCCCAUCCUGUAUGCCCAAUAUACAGCAGCCUUCUGGGUAAUCCAAGGACUUGAGGGAAGUGUAAGACAUUCCAGGAGCUUUGGAAAGCUGUUCAAACAGGCAAUACCUGUUCCAUGCCUUCCUAAGAGUAAUGUAAUAUAUAUCAUGU